UGGGUAGUAGCUCAGUGGCGGAGUUCCCGCUUCAUAUGCGGGAAGACUUGGGUUCGAUUCCCGGUUGCUUAC
rfam:Toxocara canis scaffold1019, whole genome shotgun sequence.